GUCGGGAUAGCUCAGUUGGUAGAGCAGAGGACUGAAAAUCCAAAAAUUUAAAAAUA
rnacentral:tRNA from 1 species